UUAGAGGUGCCAGAAGAAGAUGGGUUAGAUUUAGGAUUUAAUUAUGGGCGGUUGUCCCCUUUAGU
rnacentral:tRNA from 1 species